UUAACGGCCGCGGUAUUUUGACCGUGCAAAGGUAGCAUAAUCAUUUGUCCUUUAAUUGGGGGCUAGAAUGAAAGAAAGUUUGAAGCUUUUUCUGUCUCUUUUUUAUUUUUGUAAUUUGCUGUUCUUGUGAAGAAGCAAGAGUUGUUAAAAAAGACAAGAAGACCCUAUUAAGCUUUAUUUUUUUGUUUUUAUUCGUUUGAAUAUAAAAACAAAAAGAUUUGGUUGGGGUGACUAAAGAAGAAAAAUUUAUCUUCUUUUUUUAAAAAUAACUAUUUGUUUAACAGAGACCCAAAAUUUUUUGGUUGUAAGAAUUAGUUACUAUAGGGAUAACAGCGUUAUCUUUUCAUAAAGUUCUUAUUGAAGAAAAGGAUUGCGACCUCGAUGUUGACUUACUUUAUCCUAUAAAGGUGUAGCAGCUGUGAGGGUUGGU
rnacentral:rRNA from 1 species